AGCGAACGCUGGCGGCAGGCCUAACACAUGCAAGUCGAACGGACCCUUCGGGGUUAGUGGCGGACGGGUGAGUAACACGUGGGAACGUGCCUUUAGGUUCGGAAUAGCUCCUGGAAACGGGUGGUAAUGCCGAAUGUGCCCUUCGGGGGAAAGAUUUAUCGCCUUUAGAGCGGCCCGCGUCUGAUUAGCUGGUUGGUGAGGUAAUGGCUCACCAAGGCGACGAUCAGUAGCUGGUCUGAGAGGAUGACCAGCCACAUUGGGACUGAGACACGGCCCAAACGCCUACGGGAGGCAGCAGUGGGGAAUCUUGCGCAAUGGGCGAAAGCCUGACGCAGCCAUGCCGCGUGAAUGAUGAAGGUCUUAGGAUUGUAAAAUCCUUUCACCGGUGAAGAUAAUGACUGUAGCCGGAGAAGAAGCCCCGGCUAACUUCGUGCCAGCCGCCGCAGUAACAC
rnacentral:rRNA from 1 species